GUUACUUUGGUUUUGCCCAUAUGAGUAGUAAGAUUUGGACAUCAGCAAAUGUCACAGUGAAUGAGCUGAAGAACUCUGCUCGUCUGUACUCGGCUGGGAUGAGAAGUGACUCUCUGGUCCUGAGCCAGCAAAGUAAUCAACACUGUUUAACCACUUCUAAUUGCACAGGAUCGGUGCUUUAAAG
rnacentral:lncRNA from 12 species